CUUGUUGGUGAUCCAUUUUGAAUAUAGCAGUGUGUACAUGUCAAUCUCAAACUCCCUAACUAUCCCUCCUCAUACCCUUCCCCCUGGUAACCAUAAAUUCUCUCUAUGUCUGUGAGUCUGAAACAAUUGUGACUUUAGUAACAGGUUAACCAAUCAGAGCCUUCUACCAAGGAUGUCCAAUGCAGGAACCAGGGGCCCGAGGGAAGAGGAUUCUGGGACCAGGAGAGGCAUAAAACAGCGGUUAAGAUUCAGACUCUGGGGCCAGAAUGACUUUGAUUUAGUCCUGCCUCACCACCUCUGAGCUGCAUGAACUUGGGUAAGUUGCUUAACUCUGUUAAGCCUCAAUUUGAAUCUUUGAAAUUGAGAUAAUGAUUGUUAUCUCACAGGAUUAUUAUGGGAAUUAAACAAGAUCAUGUAUCUAAAGUGAUUUGUACAGCAUACAUGGUAUUAAACACUGCAAGAAUCAUAGCAGUCAGUAUGUCUAACUCUUUCUUUGGGGGAAUAAACUCUCAGGACUGACAUAUAUGCUCACAUACAUCCAGGACUAUUUACUUACUAUAGAGGUGUGUGAACAUGUCACACUCUUCCCUCCAAGAGCCAUC
rnacentral:lncRNA from 1 species